ACCAAAGAAAAACUACAAUAGAUAAACGUCCACAAAAUAAAAAAGGAACCUUUACCAAAUAUCAAAUCUUUUUUGAGGUGACCGCCUAUUCAUAAAUGCUUCUUAAAAAUAUAUACAGUCCGUAUACUUACUAUUAACAUUUUACACAUUUAGUUUUUGUUACUAAAAUGCUUUUCAGUUAAUCUACGAGAUAUUGCAAUUAACAUCCAUAAUGUUUUAUUAUUAUUAUUAUUAUUCUUUUUACUCUCUUCUCACAGAUAUGAAAAAGGCAAAUUUGGGGGCCAUAAUGUUUUAUUAUUAUUAUUCUUUUUACUCUCUUCUCACAGAUAUGAAAAAGGCAAAUUUGGGGGGAACCAUAUUUGGGGUCCUAACGUGACUCCUGUUCCCCCCUCGUGUAAUCAUUUACACGUCAAAUAUAAUUUACUCCUCAUGCCGUCAGGAACUUUCAAUAUUUAAGACGGCGUCGACGAAGAAAAGCGUCUACAUUGUCACGUCACAGUCUGGAGGCUGUGAUGGCUCAGCGGCGACCGGGUUUGGGUCUCCAGGGGCAGGAGGCCGAGCAGCAGACACGUCCACGCAGGCAGCAGCGCACACAUGACGGCGCAAGGGAGUCACGCGAGCCGCUGGGUAACGCUCCACUACACUACAAGUCCCAGAGCCGAGAUGAGAUCUUGCAGUGGUUCGGUGUCCUCGGCAUCCAGGAGCGCAUGCUGCCGGCAAAAGAGCGUGAGGUGCGUGAAGAGCGUGUUGAGGUGCGGGUGCAGACCCAGGGCUUGCGUCUGCCGGAAGUGAGACCAGUAGAUGUGUGCCAGAGUCCUGAACAGCAACAAAAACACCUUCUGUACCAGGAAGAUGAAGCCGGUGGGGAACACUGAGCCUGAAAUUGAAAAGGUGGGAGAAAGCCAAAGCGCUUGCGGAAAACCUACCCAAGCUCGGAGAGAACAUGCAAACUCCACAGAGAGUCAACACCAGAAUCUCAGAACCAUGAGCCAGAUGUGCAAAGUACUGUCCCAAUAGGCUGCCACCAUUAUAUCACAGGUAAGUUGAAUUCUCCUCAUUCUUCUUUUCAGUCAUGCUGCUCCCUCAAUAAUUGAUGUCAUUUAAAAAAAAAAAAAAAAGAUAGUGUGUCGGGGUUGUAAGGAGGACAAACCUGGGGCCUCUUGAGUGUGAGGCAGAUGUGCAAACCACUAGACCACUAUGCUAUUUUGGUACCCCUUGGUGGAGAUUUAAAAAAAAAAAAAAAUGCUGCUCAGUUGAAGGAAAUGGAGCGAACAUCCUGUUCUGCCUGGGCUUCUUUGCCUUGAUCCCUUUUCAGGCCUCUGGGCAGAUAGCGGCGGUCCACACGCAAAACACACGACGGACCCGCAGCUGGUGUAUGCGCAAAAACACACAGUGAGCCCGCCGACUCCGUAGAGGUG